rnacentral:rRNA from 1 species
GACAGAGGGUGCAACCGUUGUUCGGAAUUACUGGGCGUAAAGCGCGUGUAGGCGGCUCGGCAAGUCGGAUGUGAAAUCCCUCGGCUUAACCAAGGAAGUGCAUCCGAAACUGCAGUGCUUGAGUACUAAAGAGGAUCGCGGAAUUCCCGGUGUAGAGGUGAAAUUCGUAGAUAUCGGGAGGAACACCAGUGGCGAAGGCGGCGAUCUGGGUAGAUACUGACGCUGAGGUGCGAAAGCGUGGGGAGCAAACAGG